UACGGAGGGAGCUAGCGUUGUUCGGAAUUACUGGGCGUAAAGCGCGCGUAGGCGGCUUUGUAAGUUAGAGGUGAAAGCCCGGGGCUCAACUCCGGAACUGCCUUUAAAACUGCAUCGCUUGAAUCCAGGAGAGGUGAGUGGAAUUCCGAGUGUAGAGGUGAAAUUCGUAGAUAUUCGGAAGAACACCAGUGGCGAAGGCGGCUCACUGGCCCGGUACUGACGCUGAGGUGCGAAAGCAUGGGGAGCGAACAGG
rnacentral:rRNA from 1 species